GAUGAACGCUAGCUACAGGCUUAACACAUGCAAGUCGAGGGGAAACGAUAUUGGAAGCUUGCUUCCGAUAGGCGUCGACCGGCGCACGGGUGAGUAACGCGUAUCCAACCUGCCCAUCACUUGGGGAUAACCUUGCGAAAGUAAGACUAAUACCCAAUGACGUCUCUAGAAGACAUCUGAAGGAGAUUAAAGAUUUAUCGGUGAUGGAUGGGGAUGCGCCUGAUUAGCUUGUUGGCGGGGUAACGGCCCACCAAGGCGACGAUCAGUAGUGGUUCUGAGAGGAAGGUCCCCCACAUUGGAACUGAGACACGGUCCAAACUCCUACGGGAGGCGGCAGUGAGGAAUAUUGGUCAAUGGGCGAGAGCCUGAACCAGCCAAGUAGCGUGCAGGAAGACGGCCCUAUGGGUUGUAAACUGCUUUUAUAAGGGAAUAAAGCGGGAGUCGUGACUCCUUUUGCAUGUACCUUAUGAAUAAGGACCGGCUAAUUCCGUGCCAGCAGCCGCAGUAA
rnacentral:rRNA from 1 species